UGCAAUAUUUCCGGAAUAUUACUGGCAUAUGCCAUGCGAUGUUGCAGGCAUAUUGUUAAUUUAUGUUUCUGCAAUGUCUCCGUAUUGCAUUGCAAUCUGCAACAUUGCAACAUUGCUGCAAUGUUGCUGCAAUUUUAUGUGCUGUUUGGGUAUGAGCGGAACUGUUGAUCGGCCAGACCACAGUAUAAGAAAGAACAGUAGGUCGAUUCCGUCAUAAAGCACGACGAAAGUUGUUCUUUGCGCAUGACCGAAUCGCACAACCAGCAGUAUGGCGAUUAAGUUCUGAUUGGACGAUUCCAGCAUAUGGCGUCAUUAACCCGACUCAGGUUAAGUUAAACCACUGCGCUCACAAACGCUAUUGGAUCCACGCAUAACCAGCAACAUGGCGAUUUUGUAGUCAUCAUAUCAAAGGUGCCGACACCGACCUACUGUUCUUUCUUAUACUGUGGCCAGACCACGUGCCAUCGAACGGAACAAGUAAUAAUCGGACGGCGCAAUAUCUGGGGAAUAUGGCGGGUGGGGUAGGAAUUCCCAUUUGAGGGUGCCGUCACAUAGGGCGUAACUUGCGUAAGCGUAACUUGUGCCAAUGAUAUUGUUUUACUAAAACAUCAGCUUCCGCCUAGUUACUUUACGCUUUUUACGUUAUUAUCGUUACGUCAAAUUCAAUUUCAUGCGUAAGAAACACUGUACAUGUAGUAAUACAUGUAUUGGUAACACAUGUAUUCUUAACUUAAUAAUAUAAUGCUGCUUUGCUUAUAUAAUGCUGCUACUUUAAGACAACUCAAGUUUUGGAGAACUUAUUGUACGAACGAUGUCUUCAACAAUCUUUUAACACACAAAGCAUUAUAAUUAAUUAAAUUAGCAGUUUAAAAAAAAUAUAUUCUAAGUGCAAUAUUUACAAAAAAGUGAACCUACUUUUUCAGAUUUAGGUUUUUCUGGUAUAACCUAGGAGCAAUAUAUAUUUUUUUAACAAAUGUAAAAACUAUUUGUUAACAAGAGUUCUUUUAAUAGACAAAAUUUCCAAUUUCUUAACAAGAGUUUAGGUUUUAACUUAAGUGCGAUGUAUGCCCGCACAGGUUAGAUUCGCACAUAGAUGAUUCACACAUACUAGUGUGCAGAGUAUCAGUUUCACAUGAGGCGUACUUUCCGAGACGCGUAAAUUACAAAAACCAAUCGUAAAUUUGUUUAGCAUUUUUGUUAGAGAGUACAAGAAAAAUCCUAAUGAGCAAUUGGUUGCAUUAGAUAUGCAUUUUUUGAAAUUCCGUGAAAUACGCUUUUUUGUGAAAGAAGGCUUUUAAAAUGGCGUAACGUAUUUUAGAAGUUACUAGAAUACGCAAAUUACGCUACGCAACACAUGUGACGGCACCCUGAACGUUUCUACGUAGGUUUUAACGGGUUUGGCAAUGAGGCUGAGCGUUGUCAUGCAAUAGAAUCACUUUGUCUGCUCGUAUUGUGGCCGUUUUUCGCGCAGUGCUCGGCUCAGUCGCAUCAAUUGAAGUCGAUACCGUUCUCCAGUGAUGGUUUCAACAGCUCAUUCAGCGUCUUUGAAUGUUUUUGGCCUUCCUUCACGCGGACGGUCGUCAACAUCGAAAUCACCGUCUUUGAAACUACGGAACCAAUCACGGCACGUUGUUUCACUUAGAACAGCAUUUCCGUAAACUUUUUGGAGCUCUUGAUGCGCUUUAGCCGCCGCUUUCUUUGAAUGAAAUAAGAAAAUCAACACUUUCCGCAAAUGACGAUUAUUUGGCACAAAAUCAGACAUUUUCACACAAUCAAAAGUAUAUGACGCCAAAAUAAAAUCACUAACGUGUCAACGCGGUUUGUUUACCAUAUGUCUAAGCUUGAUUCAUGACGUUUUGAAUAUGUCUAAAGCUGCGUUCCGAUAUACACUGCAAGUACUGAAAAUCUAUAGUUCACGUUAUAUAUACUAUAGAUUUUCAGUACUGGCAGUGAAUUUCGGAACGCAGUCUUUAAAUUGACCAGCACUAGAGACCCUAUAUCAGAGUCUGGACAAGACGCGAUUUGGGCAAAAUCGCACGAGAGAGAAAGAGAUACACUUCUCUCUCUAACUUAUUCUUGACGUAUCUAACCUUAACUUAAACGCGAAAUCACGUGACACGUAAAACUAUUGUUGUUGUGUGUUCUUUGUGCAAGUUUAUUUUAAAAAUUAUAAAAAAUGGGUGGCUGUGCAACCCCAUUUUGUAAUAAUUCUAGAGCUAUGAUAAUGAUGACAGCGAAUAUUUAUCAGGCUUUAUUAAAUAUUUGUCAGAAGAAAAACAAACAAAUAAAGAAAACAUUGAUAUAAACAAUAAUAACACAAGUAAUAGCGCAAUUCCGCUUUUCAAUAAACAUUUAAUAAGAUUAUCAAAUUUAGAAUUAAAUAGUUUAUAUAGCAUUGCCGGGUACCUCAUACAAUCUAUUACAAAACAAUACAGACUGUGUAAUAAAUGUUUAAAAUUAGUUGGCUCAAAAACUCCAAUAUUAUAUUCAUUUACCAAAUUCGUAUAAUUAAAAUGUUACACAAAUAAUUGUUUAUUUUUUGUUAAUGUUGAAACUUUUUUAAUCUUUUUUAGGUUUGAACAAAUGUUUCGACAUUAUUCUAAAUAUUUUAAUAACAUUACAGAUAUGAGUUUAAAAAAUUUUUUAAUUAAAGAAUGUAGUAAAGUUACAGCUAACCAUAUUUUACCAUGUCACAACUUAUAUAUAAAUAUAAUUAAGAGGCGGGAGUUGAGAACCAAAACUGAAGAACCAAUCAAAAGUGAUUAUCGCCUGUCCAGUCUCUGAUAUAGGGUCUCUAACCAGCACUUACUAGUGGAGCAAUCUAUUGACAAACAGCGGGAACUUAGUUGCGCACCUAAUAGUUCUAAUUUUGUCCGCGACGGAAUGUCGCUCCGUCAACAAGGAGUUCUCGGCUGAGGAGUCAGGAACCUUACAAAUUUUUUUUUAUAUAAUUAGAACUUGAAAGUUUGUAAGAGAUUCUGUGUUGUACGCUAAGCAUCACUGCAUACGAAUUAUGUACAUACAUUAGUGUUUUUUAAUUAACAUGAUAAUAAGCACGGCGAAUACAUCAUUCAAUGUAUUAUAAUAUCGGAAAUUUGCAACAAAAUGCGAAUCAACUCCAUCAAAUAAUUACAUUUGCAAAGAAUAUUAAUUUGGAGACUUUAUAAAAAUUAACUCAGUAUGUUAUAAACACUUUACGUUUCUUUUAUUAAAUAUAAUAUUAUUUUGCAGUUAAUCUAUUUGAAAUUUUUAUAUAAUUCACACAUUUACAAAGUCAUAUAAAAUGUUCUCAUAUUAAUGGGCAUC